AUGAUUCCUAAUGACUCAUAGUAACUUACUAUUGUAAUAUAGUUGUAUUAAUUGCUGUGUGUAGUCUUUAACCCAUCAUUUAUGGUGGGUUUUUUUUAUU
rnacentral:sRNA from 1 species